GGCCAAGUAGUAGGGGCCACUGCAGAAGCAUUCACUUUGUGACCCCUGUCAGGUAAUACCUGCGAAUUCUGCC
rnacentral:ribozyme from 1 species